rnacentral:rRNA from 1 species
CCUACGGGGGCAGCAGUGGGGAAUAUUGGACAAUGGGCGAAAGCCUGAUCCAGCCAUGCCGCGUGUGUGAAGAAGGCCUUCGGGUUGUAAAGCACUUUCAGUGGGGAAGAAAGCCUUGGGGCUAAUACCCUCGAGGAAGGACAUCACCCACAGAAGAAGCACCGGCUAACUCCGUGCCAGCAGCCGCGGUAAUACGGAGGGUGCGAGCGUUAAUCGGAAUUACUGGGCGUAAAGCGCGCGUAGGCGGUCUGAUAAGCCGGUUGUGAAAGCCCCGGGCUCAACCUGGGAACGGCAUCCGGAACUGGCAGGCUAGAGUGCAGGAGAGGAAGGUAGAAUUCCCGGUGUAGCGGUGAAAUGCGUAGAGAUCGGGAGGAAUACCAGGGGCGAAGGCGGGCUUCUGGACUGACACUGACGCUGAGGUGCGAAAGCGUGGGUAGCAAACAGGAUUAGAUACCCGGGUAGUC